UACGGAGGAUGCAAGCGUUAUCCGGAAUGAUUGGGCGUAAAGCGUCCGCAGGUGGCUGUGUAAGUCUGCUGUCAAAGAGCAAAGCUCAACUUUGUAAAGGCAGUGGAAACUACACGGCUAGAGUGCGUUCGGGGCAGAGGGAAUUCCUGGUGUAGCGGUGAAAUGCGUAGAUAUCAGGAAGAACACCCGUGGCGAAGGCGGCUCUCUGGGACGGUACUGACGCUGAGACGCGAAAGCGUGGGGAGCGAACGGG
rnacentral:rRNA from 1 species